UACGUAGGGUGCGAGCGUUUGUCCGGAUUUAUUGGGCGUAAAGAGCUCGUAGGCGGUUUGUCGCGUCGGCCGUGAAAUCUCCACGCUUAACGUGGAGCGUGCGGUCGAUACGGGCAGACUUGAGUUCGGUAGGGGAGACUGGAAUUCCUGGUGUAGCGGUGAAAUGCGCAGAUAUCAGGAGGAACACCUGAGGUGAAGACGGGUUGCUGGGCUGACACUGACGCUGAGGCGCGAAAGCUAGGGUAGCAAACGGG
rnacentral:rRNA from 1 species